rnacentral:siRNA from 1 species
CCAUAUUAGAUUGUGGACUUCCA